ensembl:ncRNA T22C1.15 ncRNA
AAUCAAAGGAAUUAGAAAAACACGGAAAAGCAAGAAAGGAUGGAUCAAUAGACUGGAAAUAGACGGAGUAGUGGAGGGGGCUCGUGUGCGGAGCUCUCACCGAACCUCCUCCUCUUCUCUCUGUGGCUUUCUCUCGCCCCUGUUUUCUCUCUGUGCUCGAGGCAAGCAGGGAGGGAAGCUGGGCUGCCUGGUUUCCUCGGGACGCACAAAUACACUCGCUCAUUGAGUGAAAGACGUAGUCGCUUGACUGCUCCCUCUCUUCUUCUUUUUUUGCUAUCGAAGAAAAAGAAGAAGAAGCAGAAGAAGAAAAAAGAAGGAGACAUUGAAAAAAGCCCCGCGCCGGCUCCUUUCCAGCCAGCAGGUGCCCUUACAAGGAGCUGAGAAAAGAAGAAGCAGGAAAAAGAGGGGGAGGAGAGGGCGGAAUUCAAUUUUUUCUUCCUCUGAAGAAGCAAAGAAACGAAUUGAAGAGAUUCUUCUUGAUGGAAA